GACGAACGCUGGCGGCGUGCUUAACACAUGCAAGUCGAACGGAAAGGCCCUGCUUUUGUGGGGUGCUCGAGUGGCGAACGGGUGAGUAACACGUGAGUAACCUGCCCUUGACUUUGGGAUAACUUCAGGAAACUGGGGCUAAUACCGGAUAGGAGCUCCUGCUGCAUGGUGGGGGUUGGAAAGUUUCGGCGGUUGGGGAUGGACUCGCGGCUUAUCAGCUUGUUGGUGGGGUAGUGGCUUACCAAGGCUUUGACGGGUAGCCGGCCUGAGAGGGUGACCGGCCACAUUGGGACGGAGAUGCGGCCCAGACUCCUACGGGAGGCAGCAGUGGGGAAUAUUGCACAAUGGGCGGAAGCCUGAUGCAGCAACGCCGCGUGCGGGAUGACGGCCUUCGGGUUGUAAACCGCUUUCGCCUGUGACGAAGCGUGAGUGACGGUAAUGGGUAAAGAAGCACCGGCUAACUACGU
rnacentral:rRNA from 1 species